rnacentral:rRNA from 1 species
UUAAAUUGAAGAGUUUGAUCAUGGCUCAGAUUGAACGCUGGCGGCAGGCCUAACACAUGCAAGUCGAACGGUAACAGGAAGCAGCUUGCUGCUUUGCUGACGAGUGGCGGACGGGUGAGUAAUGUCUGGGAAACUGCCUGAUGGAGGGGGAUAACUACUGGAAACGGUGGCUAAUACCGCAUAACGUCGCAAGACCAAAGAGGGGGACCUUCGGGCCUCUUGCCAUCAGAUGUGCCCAGAUGGGAUUAGCUUGUUGGUGAGGUAACGGCUCACCAAGGCGACGAUCCCUAGCUGGUCUGAGAGGAUGACCAGCCACACUGGAACUGAGACACGGUCCAGACUCCUACGGGAGGCAGCAGUGGGGAAUAUUGCACAAUGGGCGCAAGCCUGAUGCAGCCAUGCCGCGUGUAUGAAGAAGGCCUUCGGGUUGUAAAGUACUUUCAGCGGGGAGGAAGGUGUUGUGGUUAAUAACCGCAGCAAUUGACGUUACCCGCAGAAGAAGCACCGGCUAACUCCGUGCCAGCAGCCGCGGUAAUACGGAGGGUGCAAGCGUUAAUCGGAAUUACUGGGCGUAAAGCGCACGCAGGCGGUCUGUCAAGUCGGAUGUGAAAUCCCCGGGCUCAACCUGGGAACUGCAUUCGAAACUGGCAGGCUUGAGUCUUGUAGAGGGGGGUAGAAUUCCAGGUGUAGCGGUGAAAUGCGUAGAGAUCUGGAGGAAUACCGGUGGCGAAGGCGGCCCCCUGGACAAAGACUGACGCUCAGGUGCGAAAGCGUGGGGAGCAAACAGGAUUAGAUACCCUGGUAGUCCACGCCGUAAACGAUGUCUACUUGGAGGUUGUGCCCUUGAGGCGUGGCUUCCGGAGCUAACGCGUUAAGUAGACCGCCUGGGGAGUACGGCCGCAAGGUUAAAACUCAAAUGAAUUGACGGGGGCCCGCACAAGCGGUGGAGCAUGUGGUUUAAUUCGAUGCAACGCGAAGAACCUUACCUGGUCUUGACAUCCACAGAACUUUCCAGAGAUGGAUUGGUGCCUUCGGGAACUGUGAGACAGGUGCUGCAUGGCUGUCGUCAGCUCGUGUUGUGAAAUGUUGGGUUAAGUCCCGCAACGAGCGCAACCCUUAUCCUUUGUUGCCAGCGGUCCGGCCGGGAACUCAAAGGAGACUGCCAGUGAUAAACUGGAGGAAGGUGGGGAUGACGUCAAGU